UACAGAGGGGGCAAGCGUUAUUCGGAAUUAUUGGGCGUAAAGGGCGCGUAGGCGGCAUGGCAAGUGGAUGGUGAAAUCCCUCGGCUUAACCGAGGAACUGCCGUCCAAACUGCUUCGCUUGAGACCGGGAGAGGUGAGUGGAAUUCCCAGUGUAGCGGUGAAAUGCGUAGAUAUUGGGAGGAACACCAGUGGCGAAAGCGGCGCACUGGACCACAACUGACGCUGAGGCGCGAAAGCUAGGGGAGCAAACAGG
rnacentral:rRNA from 1 species